GCAGCCUGACCAGCCAUGCCGCGUGUAGUGAGAAGGUCUUCGGAUUGUAAAGCACUUUAAGUUAGGGAGGAAGGGCUGCUGGUUAAUACCCUGCAGUUUUGACGUUACCAACACAAUAAGCACCGGCUAACUUCGUGCCAGCAGCCGCGGUAAUACAA
rnacentral:rRNA from 1 species